rnacentral:rRNA from 1 species
CCCUUAGAUGUUCUGGGCCGCACGCGUGCUACACUGAGUAAUUCAAUGGGUAAGGGAACGCUAGAGCAUUACCUAAUCUUGAAAUUUGCUCGUGAUGGGGAUCGACGGUUGCAAUUUUCCGUCGUGAACGAGGAAUACCUUGUAGGCGCAUGUCAUCAUCAUGCGCCGAAUACGUCCCUGCCCUUUGUACGCACCGCCCGUCGCUCCUACCGAUUGAGUGAUCCGGUGAGGCUCUGGGACCUGGACGGAAAGAGCGUUUCGCUUGUUCUGUUUGGGAAACUUGGUCGAACCUUAUCAUUUAGAGGAAGGAGAAGUCGUAACA